UAGUUGAAAUUUAUUAUUUUUGUUAUUUAUUAUUAUUUAUUAAAAAUAAUUUUAAUUUAAUAUUUGUUUUUGUAUAUUUUAUAGAUAAAAUAUGUGUAUAAUUAUAGUUUAUUAGUAUUGUGAAAGAAUAUUGAAAUAUUAUGAAAAAUUAUUAAUUUAAAAGAAAAUUUGACUUAUUGUACCUUGUGUAUCAGGGUUUAUUAAAUAAAAAAUAUUUAUUAAUAUUUUUCUCGAAUUUAAGAGAUUUAAUUUUAUAUAUUAGUUAAUGUGGAAUAAUUAUUAAUAAUAUAAAAUUAGAAAUGAAAUGUUAUCCGUUCUUAAAUAUAUCUAGUUUUUUAAGAAAUAGAUUUAAUCUAUAUAAUUAAAUAGUAAUUAAUUUAUUUUAAAAUUAAUUAUUUUUAAUUAUAAAUAUUUUUAGGGAUAAGCUUAAAAAUAAAUUUUUAUAAAAAAGGUAUAAAAUUAAUAAUUAUAGGCUUAGAAUUAGUCAUUAUUUAUAAAUAUGUUAUAAUUUAUAUUAAUUUGUAUAAUAUUUAGUUAAUAUUUAAAUUUAUAUUAAAAUAUUUAUUUUAAUUAAAAAAAUAAAGUAAUAAUGAUAAAAUUAGUAUAAAAUUUAUUUAAAAAUUUAUUAUUUUGUAAGGUUUUUUUAAGUAAUUCGGCAAAAAUAAUAUUCGCCUGUUUAUCAAAAACAUGUCUUUUUGAAUUUAUUUAAAGUCUAACCUGCCCACUGAUAAAUUAAAGGGCCGCGGUAUUUUGACCGUGCAAAGGUAGCAUAAUCAUUAGUUUUUUAAUUGAAAGCUUGUAUGAAUGGUUGAACGAAAUAUUAACUGUCUCAUUAAAAUUUAUUUUAUAAUUUAUCUUUUUUGUUCAAAGACAAAAAUUUAAUUAAAAGACGAGAAGACCCUAUAGAGCUUUAUAAUUUUAUAUUAUUAUUAUUAAAGAAUAUUUUUGAUAUUAUUAAAAUAUUAUUUUGUUGGGGUGACAAUAAAAUUUAAAAAACUUUUAUUAUUUUUUAACAUUAAUAAAUGAAUAUUUGAUCCAGUUUUAUUGAUUAAAAAUUUAAGUUACCUUAGGGAUAACAGCGUAAUUUUUUUUAAGAGUUCAUAUCGACAAAAAAGAUUGCGACCUCGAUGUUGGAUUAAGAGUUAAUUUUAGGUGUAGAAGUUUAAAAUUUAGGUCUGUUCGACCUUUAAAUUCUUACAUGAUCUGAGUUCAAACCGGCGUAAGCCAGGUUGGUUUCUAUCUUUAAUAAAAAAAAAUAUUUUAGUACGAAAGGACCAAAUAUUUAAAAUAUAAAUUUUUAGAUUAAGAAUAUUAUU
rnacentral:rRNA from 1 species